GACGAACGCUGGCGGCGUGCUUAACACAUGCAAGUCGAACGAAGUGGCGAACGGGUGAGUAACGCGUAAUCAACCUGCCCUUCAGAGGGGGAAAACAGUUGGAAACGACUGCUAAUACCGCAUACUGAAGGAGGAGAUUUGGUCUGAUUGGCUAGUUGGGGGGGUAACGGCCCACCAAGGCGAUGAUCAGUAGCCGGUCUGUGAGGGUGAACGGCCACAUUGGGACUGAGGCACGGCCCAGACUCCUACGGGAGGCAGCAGUGGGGAAUCUUCCGCAAUGGACGAAAGUCUGAAGGAGCAACGCCGCGGGAGGGAUGACGGCCUUCGGGUUGUAAAGCUCUGUUAAUCGGGACGCGGUACCGGAAUAGAAAGCCACGGCUAACUCCGUGCCAGCAGCCGCGGUAAUUC
rnacentral:rRNA from 1 species